GGUAAAUUUAGGGGAAAUCCAAAAAUGCAGGGAUUUCUGUUUGACAAAAGCGCGUGAUUGGAGUGUCCCAUAAAUUGCAUAUUCCGAAUCUUAAUCGCAUGUGAUCCAUUUUUACAGAUUCACACUUUCUUUCGUUUGGUUUCGUUGAAAGGGUCCUACUUCGAAGCCGUCUUCGUAUUUCUCGUAAACCUCAAACCAAGUGAAGCCCAAUUGGGUAGUAUUUGAUACAUGGACUUUAGAGCCUAUUUGAUUCAAGACGACUUACAAUAAAGGAUAUCCUUAAACAGAGAAUAUAUGCCUGAGUAAAAAGGAGAUUCAUCUUUAUGUCAUGGAUUGAGACUUGGCUAAAAGUGAAAGAUCUGGUUGAAGGAAUAGUAGAAGCAAAAUGUUAGUGGAUCUGUGUAGUUGUAUAAGAGAUGUUAAAUUGGUUUGGAAGUUGCAUAUGUUACUGUUAUGAGAUUUCUAAAAGUUGACGAAUAGAAGAAACGGGACAUUUUGUACUAAACUAUGUUUAAUCUGAGAUGUUGGCUGCUAUAUAGGAGUAUAUGCAUUUUUGUGCCUGGUUGAA